UCGAUUUGGAGUUUGUUGCCUAGAGUGAUGGGCUCCGAAGCUAACGCGAUAAAUCGACCGCCUGGGGAGUACGGCCGCAAGGUUAAAACUCAAAUGAAUUGACGGGGGCCCGCACAAGCGGUGGAGCAUGUGGUUUAAUUCGAUGCAACGCGAAGAACCUUACCUGGUCUUGACAUCCACAGAACCUUGCAGAGAUGUGAGAGUGCCUUCGGGAACUGUGAGACAGGUGCUGCAUGGCUGUCGUCAGCUCGUGUUGUGAAAUGUUGGGUUAAGUCCCGCAACGAGCGCAACCCUUAUCCUUUGUUGCCAUCGGUUAGGCCGGGAACUCAAAGGAGACUGCCGUUGAUAAAGCGGAGGAAGGUGGGGACGACGUCAAGUCAUCAUGGCCCUUACGACCAGGGCUACACACGUGCUACAAUGGCGUAUACAAAGGGAGGCGACCUCGCGAGAGCAAGCGGACCUCAUAAAGUACGUCUAAGUCCGGAUUGGAGUCUGCAACUCGACUCCAUGAAGUCGGAAUCGCUAGUAAUCGUGAAUCAGAAUGUCACGGUGAAUACGUUCCCGGGCCU
rnacentral:rRNA from 1 species